rnacentral:rRNA from 1 species
GAUGAACGCUGGCGGUGUGCCUAAUACAUGCAAGUCGAGCGAACAGACGAGGAGCUUACUCCUCUGACGUUAGCGGCGGACGGGUGAGUAACACGUGGAUAACCUACCUAUAAGACUGGGAUAACUUCGGGAAACCGGAGCUAAUACCGGAUAACAUGUUGAGCCGCAUGGUUCAACAGUGAAAGACGGUCUUGCUGUCACUUAUAGAUGGAUCCGCGUCGCAUUAGCUAGUUGGUAAGGUAACGGCUUACCAAGGCAACGAUGCGUAGCCGACCUGAGAGGGUGAUCGGCCACACUGGAACUGAGACACGGUCCAGACUCCUACGGGAGGCAGCAGUAGGGAAUCUUCCGCAAUGGGCGAAAGCCUGACGGAGCAACGCCGCGUGAGUGAAGAAGGUCUUCGGAUCGUAAAACUCUGUUAUUAGGGAAGAACAAAUGUGUAAGUAACUAUGCACGUCUUGACGGUACCUAAUCAGAAAGCCACGGCUAACUACGUG